rnacentral:snRNA from 1 species
AUACUUACCUAGCAGGGGAGAUACCAUGAUCAAGAAGGUGGUUUUCCCAGGACCAGGUUUAUACAUUGCACUCCAUAUAUGCUGACCCCUGUGAUUUCCCCAAAUGUGGGAAACUCAACUGCAUAAUUGUGGUAGUGGGGGGUUGUGUUUGCACUCUCCCCUG